rnacentral:lncRNA from 1 species
CUCUGAAGGAAAAAACCCAGACGUUCUGUCUCCAAUAGAUUCCCAGUAUUCCCACCGUCCCAGCCUGUGGAGCUCCAUGCUUGUACCUUGUGCACUUUCUGAAUAACAAAGGUGCACUGGUUUUCGGCAGCACAGUGAGGACAGAAAGUAUUCCGUCUGUUUCAUUCAAGUGGAGUGAAAACUUGAAGAGCUGUGAGGUAAUUUACAGCCACAGAAAAUGAUCAUUACUGGAUGCUAAGGGAGGAAAAAAUCUCCAGGAAAAUCUAGAAUCACUGUUAUAUCUACUAGUACAUAAUGAAUGGCACAUAUUGAUUCUCUGAAAAUCUUCAUGAGAGGGCAAGGCUGUUUCCAGAAGAAGGAUGCAGAAUAGAAAUUGUCUUUUCC